rnacentral:tRNA from 1 species
GGCUCAGUGGUCCAAUGGUAAAGUGCUCAUUGCGGUGACAGAGGGUUCUGGGUUCAAUCCCCAACAGGGUCG